rnacentral:rRNA from 1 species
CGUAGGGUGCGAGCGUUAAUCGGAAUUACUGGGCGUAAAGCGUGCGCAGGCGGUUAUGUAAGACAGAUGUGAAGUCCCCGGGCUCAACCUGGGACCUGCAUUUGUGACUGCAUAGCUAGAGUACGGUAGAGGGGGAUGGAAUUCCGCGUGUAGCAGUGAAAUGCGUAGAUAUGCGGAGGAACACCGAUGGCGAAGGCAAUCCCCUGGACCUGUACUGACGCUCAUGCACGAAAGCGUGGGGAGCAAACAGGAUUAGAUACCCUGGUAGUCCACGCCCUAAACGAUGUCAACUGGUUGUUGGGUCUUCACUGACUCAGUAACGAAGCUAACGCGUGAAGUUGACCGCCUGGGGAGUACGGCCGCAAGGUUG